rfam:TPA: Bos taurus chromosome 11, whole genome shotgun sequence.
UCCCUGGUUGUCCAGUGGCUAAGACUCCAUGCUCCCAAUGUGGGGAGCCCAGGUUCAAUCCCUGUUUGGGGAA